CAGUAGCCGCGGGAAUACAGAGGUCCCGAGCGUUGUUCGGAUUCACUGGGCGUAAAGGGUGUGUAGGAGGUUGGUUAAGUCAGGUGUGAAAUCCCGCAGCUCAACUGCGGAACUGCAUUCGAUACUGUUCAACUAGAGGAUCGGAGGGGGAAGCGGAAUUCUUGGUGUAGCGGUGAAAUGCGUAGAUAUCAAGAGGAACACCGAUGGCGAAGGCAGCCCCCUGGGCCAAUACUGACGCUCAUGCACGAAAGCUAGGGGAGCAAACAGGAUUAGAUACCCCCGUAGUCCCUGUCUCUUAUAC
rnacentral:rRNA from 1 species